CAAUAGCGUAUAUUAAAGUUGUUGCAGUUAAAAAGCUCGUAGUUGGAUUUGUGGCGUACGACGGGCUCCGGGCACUUGUUGUCUGAGUAGCUUGUCGUUGCCAUCCUUGGGUGGAACCUGUGUGGCAUUAGGUUGUCGUGCAGGGGAUGCCCAUCUUUUACUGUGAAAAAAUUAGAGUGUUCAAAGCAGGCUUAUGCCGUUGAAUAUAUUAGCAUGGAAUAAUAAGAUAGGACUUUGUCGCUAUUUUGUUGGUUUGCGCGAUAAGGUAAUGAUUAAUAGGGACAGUUGGGGGUAUUCGUAUUCCAUUGUCAGAGGUGAAAUUCUUGGAUUUUUGGAAGACGAACUACUGCGAAAGCAUUUACCAAGGAUGUUUUCAUUAG
rnacentral:rRNA from 1 species